CUUUUUUUUGCAUUUCAGUGUGCUGGCAAUAAAAACAAGUUUAGUUUCACAGUAGUCACAGAGACCUCAGAGUUGCCUACAUCCUCAUCAGCGUCAAGUCUGCUACAGCUAAAAAAGGAAACGAAGAAAUUGCUCCAUCUGCUUCUAAUGAUUCUCAGAAGUACAAUGCCAUUUUUAGAAAACCCACCACUGAUGACCUUGAGGAUUUCAUCUUGACACAAUCGGAAUAUGAUUUGCUGAGAGAGGUAAACCCGAAUGAUCAAGUUGGAGGGGUCAGUGGCUGGAAUCGACCUUCCCCUUGACAAUCAAAGUUGAGUAGGCGGAUUAUCUCCAAAAAAGAAAACCCAACAACAUCUGAACUUUCUUCUAACAAAGAUUUAAAAUCUGAAUCGUUAAAUACGCCUCCGCAAAUUAUCAUCAUUUCCCCUGAAAACACACCGGAUAAGUUACCAGCUGCUCCCGGGCCAGAAAAUUUGACAGAGAACGUAUCUCUGAAAGAAGCAGCAGCACCAGCAGAUUUGAUCAGGCAGACUAAAGCCAAACUUGGAAUACUGCCAUCAGCUGUGGAGGAGCAAGAUGCACCCAAAGAUGCAACACUGAAGCCGCCCACCAGAAGGUCGCUUUUUAAAGAUCAAGGCAGCGUUUCACACAAGCGCAUCAAUCCAGUACAACAACAAGCGAAAUCUGGAGGUUUUAUCGCACAGACCCG